ensembl:lncRNA
UUUUGGUCAUAAAUGUUUGUUAAUGUAAUUCAUAAAAAAUUUUGAGAAAGAAAACUGUGUUCAAAAUAGAUUAUAUUAAAAAUGUUCACAGAAAAACAAACAAAGGCUGUCCAAAGGCUGUGUACUCUCGCUUCAGGGCUGAAAGUCAGUGUUAUCAAACCUUGGCAGCAUAGCACUUGGCAGCAAGUUUAUUUAUGAAGCCCUUUUUACAUCAGCAGUAGUCACAAAGUGCUUUUACAAAACAUCCAGCCUGAAAUCCGAAGGAGUGUUGAUGCACAGUAUCCAGGAAAAACUCCCUAAAAGGGGCUGAAAUUUAGGAAGAAACCUAGAGUGGAACUAAACUCAAGAGUGACCAGUUCUCUUCUGGCUGUGCCAGGUAUUUCAGGCCCUGGCGCGGAGAAGCAUCCCAAUAGCAUGAUGUUGCCACCACCAUGCUUCACAGUAGGGAUGGUGUCCUCAGGAUGAUGCACAGUUUUAGGCUUGUGCCAAACAUAAUGCUUAGCGUUGAGGCCAAAAAGCCUGAUAAGACCAUAGUCUAGGUAAGACUUAAUGUGAGUGGUUUUCUUUUUGAGCCUCUCUCUCAUGAAGUCCACUUUUGUGAAGCACCCGGGCUAUUGUCACAGUUUGCGCAAUAUGUAUGCGAUACAUUAUUUCAUAUUUGUAAUUAAGUUGGAACAAUUUGUUUUUCACUUUGACAUUAUGGACUCCUUUUGGAUCAGUGACUUCCAGUUAUAUUCAUUUUGACGUUAUAACAAUACAAAUGUGGAAAUGUGUAGCAUCUGCCUGCCUCAAUGUGUAGCCUCUGCCUGCCUAGUAGUUAUUUUAGAGCAGCGAAGAUCCUACGCGUUGCAGUGUCUGUCUAACACCUGACUGCCCUGCGUGCGGGGGAGUCUGCCUCGGGCGGUUGUCACAUAGGCCUGCAUGCGCUCUGCCAAUGACGAGAGGGGGAUUCAUGCAGCACACAAGCCUAUCCACAUGCACAUGCCUCCAAUUGCCAUGGAAACAAGCAAGAGCCGAUGCUGGAUGAGUUAUCUGUAUUGUAAUGAGACUGGGCCCAAGCAUAGAAGUGUCAACUGUAAUUGUUUUCCUGUCCAAGGUUAUACUAGAUUCUCUAUAUAUCAAGUCGGCCACACCUCUCUUUUUGGAGGCCAUCCAUCUUAUUUAUUUUCUUGAGUUCCAUCUCUUUUGGGAGUUAUGAACAUGAAAUCUGAUCAAGCAAACACUUGUCUAUUUAACUUGUCUGUUUCGGCCAUAAUUCAUAAUUUUUUGUUUGCUUUCAAUCAAUAAAGAAGCUGAGAGACUAUUCAACAUCAUUCAUCAUUUGUUCUCUAUUAAUAACAUUUUGCUAGCGGGAGUUUAUGUUCAAUGUUCAAUUCAAG